ACCGUGGCUAUCAUGACACCUUGUUGUCUGACGUGAUACGUACUUAUACCAGGUCACGUGGUUCUCCCAUUGGUAGCCAAUCAGCGACAGUCCGUGUUUAUUAAGUCGCUAAUUAAGUCGCUAAUUAGCAUAGCGAGGUCAGUCGUGUAGUGUGUAGCGUGUAGCCAGCCACUGAGAUCAGACUAUACUCAGGCCAAUUGCAACAAACUUGAGAUCCUAGCUCGCACAAUGGGUGCCGGUACCGGGUCCGGCAAAGGCCGGCUGUGUCCGGGCAUCAUUUGGUCCUUCUGCUGGCUCGUGUUCCUCAUCGUGUUCGGCUGGCCCGUGGCUUUCUUCAUCGCCUGGCUCUACAUCCUGCUGCUGCCCUUCAGCGCGUGCAUUGACCCCGUCAAGAAUGUGUGUGAGUCGAUCCUAAAGGUCGUCCAGCUGCCCCUGACAUGCGCAGAAGGCAUCACGGACAUGAAGCCGUUGUGCAAAUAGUGGACAUGCAAUUCAGCUUUGUUUUAACGUCAAUUUUCUUAUUUCUGAUGUUUUAACGCGUCAGCUUAUUAUUUGUGAUAUUUUAACGUCAGCUUAUUAUUUGUGAUAUUUUAAUGUCAACUUAUUAUUUGUGAUAUUUUAAUGUCAGUUUAUUUUUUGUGAUAUUUUAACGUCAGCUUAUUAUUUGUGAUAUUUUAAUGUCAACUUAUUAUUUGUGAUAUUUUAAUGUCAGCUUAUUAUUUGUGAUAUUUUAAUGUCAGCUUAUUAUUUGUGAUAUUUUAAUGUCAGCUUAUUAUUUGUGAUAUUUUAACGUCAGCUUAUUAUUUGUGAUAUUUUAACGUCAGCUUAUUAUUUGUGAUAUUUUAAUGUCAGCUUAUUAUUUGUGAUAUUUUAAUGUCAGCUUAUUAUUUGUGAUAUUUUAAUGUCAGCUUAUUAUUUGUGAUAUUUUAACGUCAGCUUAUUAUUUGUGAUAUUUUAAUGUCAGCUUAUUAUUUGUGAUAUUUUAAUGUCAGCUUAUUAUUUGUGAUAUUUUAACGUCAGCUUAUUAUUUGUGAUAUUUUAAUGUCAGCUUAUUAUUUGUGAUAUUUUAAUGUCAGCUUAUUAUUUGUGAUAUUUUAACGUUGUGAUAUGUAAAUAUUUACUUUGUCAUUUUUAUGUGAACAAAUAAACUUUGGAACAGCAGACAAUUAAA